GAUAGCUUUCCAUUCUUCAACAGUUCAACUCCUUUUGAACUCCAACAAGAUUCAAUUUCUUAAACCACGUUUUCUUACAAACCAUCAUUCCCGAAGAAGGGAAUCAUAAAGAGGAGCCUAAAACGCAGAGACAUCUUGCGAACACGAGGAACCUGCUUUGUACCAAAAAAAGGAAAAAAAAACUGUGAAGGGAUCAAGAAAGUUCGACUUGAUUGUGAAGAUGGGUGUCUUGUAUCGUGAUUAAUGGUUGAACACCAGGAUCUGAAAAAAGUGGCCAAAGGACAAAAAAACUCGAGAUCUAAAAGAACUCCAUAAGGAAAGGGAAGAAAGUGACCAAUGAAGGCAAAGUGAGACUUUCGGAGCUCGUGGCAGACUGGGUAACGUUUGAAAAUGCAAAUCCAGUUGUGACUAAUGGUCUCCAUUUUAAUGGACAGGUUUCACAAGGAGCUGUUUGUCAGUGGUGAUCAAAGAGGGACUCUCAUUCACUUCAUUGUGGGGGAAAACCUUAUGCUAUCUGCUGUAGAUGGGAGAGUUAGCGACAAUAGCGAACAAGAAGUCCUUUGAAGAGCUAUUGCAUUCCAUUGGACGGCCAAAGGUGGUAAGAGAACUUCUGGGCAGCAAUUCUCCGAGCAUGAUUGGUGCUAAAACAAAAAGUUAGAUGGAAGCAACCUGAUUUUGGACUGAUUGAUGGGUUGGAGAUCCUCUAUUUCUUGAAAUCUCUGGCAAAUCCAAGUUAUUUGGUAAAAUUUGGCUCUUUGUCAAGGAUGUUUUAGGUAGUGAGGACUCUAUAAUGAGUAUUGUUGGCUGGUUAAGACCAUCAGCAUCCCCCCUCUCAUUUCUACUAACAGCGAUAGAAUCUUGUGGGAGGCAAA